AGGACGAACGCUGGCGGCGUGCCUAACACAUGCAAGUCGAACGGGGCCCGCAAGGGUUCAGUGGCGAACGGGUGCGUAACACGUGAAGAAUUUGUCCAACGGCGGGGGAUAGCCGGCCCAACGGCCGGGUAAUACCGCGUACGGCCUUCGAGGGGCAUCCCUUGAUGGUGAAAGCCGCAAGGCGCCGAUGGAGAACUUCGCGGCCUAUCAGCUAGUUGGUGAGGUCAUGGCUCACCAAGGCGACGACGGGUAGCUGGUCCGAGAGGAUGACCAGCCACAUUGGGACUGAGACACGGCCCAGACUCCUACGGGAGGCAGCAGUGGGGAAUAUUGCGCAAUGGGCGAAAGCCUGACGCAGCGACGCCGCGUGUGGGAUGACGGCCUUCGGGUUGUAAACCACUGUCGGGAGGGACGAAGAUCUGACGGUACCUCCAAAGGAAGCACCGGCUAACUCUGUGCCAGCAGCCGC
rnacentral:rRNA from 1 species